rnacentral:lncRNA from 1 species
GCUGUCUUUCCCCUGACCCACACUAAUUGUAAAGUUGUGGGUGAACAUAUCAGACAACACAGCGAUUCUUCAAACAGCUCUUGUUUAUUCACAGGCCAGAACAGAACUGAACUGAAGGGUUCAGCCAGCCUGCUUAUAUAGAGCUCUACUACAACGCAACUGUAACAACUUCCUGUAACUAUCCAAUCACUGAACGUCACUUUCAAUCCCUUAUUUGCAUAUGUGGACCUGAGUGAAAACUAUCUACAGUAUUCCCCUGCUGGCCCAGGGUGAGAACUUCAGUACAUAACACUAAUGUUCAUGGCGCUUGUGGGCUCUGCCAUUGUCAGGGACUAGCUGGAUACUGCAGAGGGAGCACAGGGAGUUUGGCUUGGAAGAAGGGAUCAGUGAUCCGGGGAAACCUGGGACAGCUGGGAGAUGAGAGCCAGUGGCAGGAGACGCUGCAGGAUUGGAGAGUGAAGAACAGGUGCAGGAGGUGGGAGAGAGAGGUCAGGCAGUUGUAGAGUCAAGGGCUUCCACACCUCCUCCUGCCUCCACCUCUCCUGCUCCACUGUCUCCCAGGACCAGGAGAGGAUUGAAGUGAGAGAAGCAGAAGCCAGUUACAUGCAGGUGUAGUCUUUGCCUGCUUGUGCGCAGGUCGGAUGGGGAAGCCGAUAUUUGGGGUGGAGCCUCCCCGUUGAAGCAACUGCCUCAUCGGGUACACACCUAGACAUAGCCAAGAGAUAGAGGGCUGACAGACAUGCCAUCUCCAAACUUGUAGGUGUAUUUUUGACAAUAAUUAAUUCCUCACUGGACCUUCUUGCCUGACCGAGCUGCAACAGCCAUGUAUGUACCUGUUGGCUUGCGUAAGUAAUCUGAUGGUAUUCUUCAUCUAUACAAUGAGUAAAUAUAUUCUAGGGUGUAUGUGACUCUGAUCCACAUAGGUGGCGUGAUCUGUAGUCAGUAGAUUGUCUCAUUUCCUUGACCUACCUCAUCUGCAUGCUAUCUGAAAUGUACUCAGAGUCCUGUAGUGAUUUCAUGCUCUUUACUGCAGCUUGUAAAAGGGAUUGAAUUGCCCCCCAAACCUCAGGCUUUUAUGUACAUUAGUUACACAAUGAGUCCCGUCUGACUGGCUGAUUCUGCUUCCCUCCUGGAGCCUAACUGGUCUUUUCCUGCAGGCCAAUCAGUUGUUGCAUUUACGAUCCUACCAGCCUAAUAGGCUGAUUAACUUCUUCCUGGAGCCUGAUUGGUCUUCUCCUGCAAGCGAAUCAGUUGUUGCGUUCUACAAUCCUGCUUGCCUAUUGUUCUAGGAUCCAAGGUUAGUACAUAACAAUAUCAAACCUGUGGAAGUUCGUGUCAGGCCUUCACAAGUCUCAGCCACAAGAUGGUUAGGUUAUUGGACUAAGGAGAGCUAGCUUCCAGUCCCAAGUGGGCAAGAAGCAUCUGCACAGGCAAAACCAGUGUUUCAGGAAUCCGUGAUAAAAGGGCUGGAAGUGUGUAGUCAAAAGGGGGUCAUGUUCCAGAGCCUCAGUGAAAAAUCAGAGGGGUCAACAACUGGUGUGUAGUCAGGUUGUUUCCUAUAAACUUGACCUCAUCUAGAUUGCAAAUUUGCCAGUCCUAGCCCUCUGAAACUCUGCCCGACCCUGUUCUGACUUCAUUAAUGUGUCUUGUGUUGAACGAGCAAGUGUGCUGCAGUUUCUAGCUGCUUUCAGUUAGAAUAAUAAUAAUAAUAAUUGCUUCAUGGUACUUGAGCUCCACCUAACCAUGCUAUGAUUUUCCAGAUGACUCUGCACGUACAGUACUAGAAAAGAUGUGAAUGUUAGGCCCCACUUAUUAUCUGUGUGAAACAUGUUUAUUUUGAAGUAAGCUCAGCUAAAACCACCAUAGUGUAAGAGAACCCACUGCCCAAACAUUAUUACAUAAAAAAUAAAGUAAGUAAAUGCUUUUCCCUUUUGCUAUGCCUUCUAACAAGAUUCAGGUAGGUAGCUGUGUUGGUCUGAUGCAGUCGAAAUAAACACAAAAAAUAAAAAAUAAAAAAUUGUCCAGUAGCACCUUAGAGACCAACUAAGUUUGUUCUUAGUACUGUAUAAGCUUUCUUGUGCAUGCACACUUAUUCAGAUACCAUCUGCUGAAGUAUCUGAAGAAGUGUGCAUGCACACAAAAGCUUAUACCAAGAAGAAACUUAGUUGGUCUCUAAGGUACUACUGGAACGGGACGCGGGUGGCGCUGUGGGUAAAACCUCAGCGCCUAGGACUUGCCGAUCGCAUGGUCGGCGGUUCGAAUCCCCGCGGCGGGGUGUGCUCCCGUCGUUCGGUCCCAGCGCCUGCCAACCUAGCAGUUCGAAAGCACCCCCGGGUGCAAGUAGAUAAAUAGGGACUGCUUACCAGCGGGAAGGUAAACGGCGUUUCCGUGUGCUGCGCUGGCUCGCCAGAUGCAGCUUGUCACGCUGGCCACGUGACCCGGAAGUGUCUGCGGACAGCGCUGGCUCCCGGCCUAUAGAGUGAGAUGAGCGCACAACCCUAGAGUCUGUCAAGACUGGCCCGUACGGGCAGGGGUACCUUUACCUUUAAGGUACUACCGGACAUUUUUAUUUUUUAUUUUGUAUAUAUUUUGUCCAAUUAUAACUUCUCUUUCCUGUCUCUCUAGCAAAUCAUGUAAUCUGAAUAUAGAAAACAUGCUUUGAAUUCUUCAUGUUGGAUAUUUCAUUUUGAACUGAGAAGAAAAACAAGCACCAAAUGUCCAACAAUGCGGUCCUCUACGUAUCUAGCUAAAGUAAAUCUCAUUAAGUUCAUUAAGGCCGAUGACGGCUGCUCCACUGACGCUACUUGGCUCAAGCCCUUUCUUGUCUCAUACACAUUUUAUACUUCCUUGAAUUUAGAGGCAUUUCUGUCAUUCUCCUGCUCUCUGCACCACUCAGCCAUUCCUAAUACAAAAGUAUAGCUCUGGCCAUGAAGUCCUUCCCAUGUGCUUUAAGCAAGAAAAACCAUGUGAAUGAUUGGGCUGCUGGAAAGUCAGCCCUGGUAGGAACGCUCCUACUCCAGCUGUUGUUAUGAGGCUUUCUAGCACACACACUGUAGCAGAUAUGGGAAGAGUCAGAGCUGCUCACAAAGCAGACCAAUGUAGUAGCAGCAUUAGCCUAUCAGAAUACUAUACUGGUUUUGAGCAUAGUCAAAUCUGUUUCACCAAAGGCCAGAGAAGCAACAGUGAGGGUGUCCUACUUUGUUAUUUAGUUCAGUAUUCGAUUUGUUACCUUACAACAGAGCAAGUGAGCAAACAAAGAAACAACAGUGAGUCUCUUUCUAUAAUAAAUACUGUUUAAUCAUUUUGCUGCUUUUAAUUUGGGAACUGGGAGGAGACAUAAGUCAACAGCUUGCAUAUGUGUUGCAAUAAACUGUGUUAACCAUUUCUGUACAUUUACUCCUUAAAAGCUGCAACAGCUACUGGCUGGGCAGGUCAGGUAUUCUGGGCCACAUGCAAUUACAGAGUAUGGAUUUUAGUCUGGUAUGAUGAACUCUACACAUGAACAGAGAUUAUUACUUCACAUUUUGAGGACUGAGCUAUGCAUUGCAAAUGUGUUCUGAUGUGCCCUGGCUCAAAUUGAACAAUCAUUUUUUUCCAUCUAUUGGUUGGAAUACUUUGUUCUUUUAAUGUAUGGGGAAAAGUGUUUUGUAUAAGGAAGUGAAAUGGAUGAUGUUAGGAAAUUGCACGCAAGCCAGAAGCAUGUUUUUCUCACCUCUACAAAGUUUUUGUGUGUCUAGGUGUCUAGGUCUGCGACAGGUAUGUAGGUGCAGACAAUACAUGAAUUCAAAAAUUUAUUUCACAUGGUCUUGGAUGUAGCCAGGAUUUAUGUUGGGGGGGGCAGCCUUCAUGAUAAGGGGGGGCAGAACCUCAGUAUUUUUAUUGAUUUAUUUGAUUGGUUGGCAGCUGCCCCUCUCUCCAGCUAUGCCCA